rnacentral:tRNA from 1 species
AAUGGAUUUAUUCCUCAUUAAA